UACGUAGGGUGCGAGCGUUGUCCGGAAUUAUUGGGCGUAAAGAGCUCGUAGGCGGUGUGUCGCGUCGGUCGUGAAAACUUGGGGCUUAACCCUGAGCCUGCGGUCGAUACGGGCAUCACUGGAGUUCGGCAGGGGAGACUGGAAUUCCUGGUGUAGCGGUGAAAUGCGUAGAUAUCUGGAGGAAUACCGGUGGCGAAGGCGGCAUCCUGGACCGACAUUGACGCUGAGGAGCGAAAGCCAGGGGAGCAAACGGG
rnacentral:rRNA from 1 species